rnacentral:rRNA from 1 species
UACGAAGGGUGCAAGCGUUAUUCGGAAUUACUGGGCGUAAAGGGUGCGUAGGCGGUUGUUUAAGUCUGUCGUGAAAUCCCCGGGCUCAACCUGGGAAUGGCGAUGGAUACUGGGCAGCUAGAGUGUGUCAGAGGAUGGUGGAAUUCCCGGUGUAGCGGUGGAAUGCGUAGAGAUCGGGAGGAACAUCAGUGGCGAAGGCGGCCAUCUGGGACAACACUGACGCUGAAGCACGAAAGCGUGGGGAGCAAACAGG